GUGCAGCCCUGGAUGUCCCUAUCCAUUGGUGAUGUGCACAGGAACCAGUGGGAGCAAGCAGGAAAAGUGCAAGCAGGGAAAAAAGAAAAGAAAAAAUGUCAUGGAGAUUUCCAGAAAAGGAGCAAAGAAGGAAAGUAGGCUUUCUGAGUCUAUACAAGGGGCUCAGUGGCAGCUGGCCCUAGGUGACAUAGGGGGUUGAAGUACUGGCAUUCAGGAGUCUCCUCUCACAGCGUGUGCAUCAUCAGGUUUGAGCUCCAGGGGUGCACAGCCUUGACCCACUAUCUGGAUUUGGAUGGGAGUGUCCAAGGUGAGCUAAGUUCUUCCAGCACACUGCUGACCACGGGCUAGGCCAGUGCAGGUCCCAUGGGUCCACAGGGGCAGCAGCCUGGCCACAGAAUCCUUUAUGGUCAUCAGGCUGGCAGUAGCACCUUAUAAUCUGAUGUCACCGUUGUCAGAGAACCAGAGAAGAAUUCUUAGUGGGAUCGUGGAGGUAUAUCAUAGUCCCAUCACAUGGUGAAGCAGUCAAUCCAAAGGCCCAGAUCUAGUGUGGAUAAAGGCCCACACAAACUAAACAGGCAAUGGCCAUCAGCCUCUUUGCCUUAGUGAGUGAGAGCUGUCACAUAGGCCUGUCCCAGGGUGAACCAGUGGACUUCCCCCUUAGUGGUGUUCCAGGCCCACUCCCACAACUGAGGGGUAGUUCCUAAAAGCAGCCAUACUCCUCCAGGGCCAUGUUCCUUCAUUUAUAAAUCCUGGGUCAUAGUUAUCCAAUUUCCAACCCAUGUAGUAGCCCAUGGUGGCAAGUGGGGCCCAAAUAUCUGCCUGACCAUGAAGCUCAAAGCAACCAGUGAGAGACUCUGGUGACUGGAGCACAGUGGGUCAUCCCGUGAGGAAGGUCUUCAGGACCAUCUUAAUAAGCAAAGGUCAGGCAUUGGGUCAAUGUCAUUGAGAUCUGAGCCCCUGUCUAGUUGCUUUGAUACUGUGGCUUAGGCAGGUGGACACAAAAGUGGCUCGUGCAAUCCCUCCAAGGAAGGUUCAGGUCAGGGUUCUGGCGCUCCCAACCCAGGAAUCCUUAGUUGCCCCAGAAAGUGAAACAAUGGGAGAAGGCUGGAUUUAAAAUAAGGGCAUGUAGUGAGGGCUUGUGCACUUGGAAUAAAUGGCCCAAAUAGUACAGAAACAUUUUGGUGCUUGUUCUAGGAUAUCUAAAUCCAAUCAGUUGUGGUCAUCUUACUGGACUUGCACAAGUUUAGCUUGGAGCAGACUGCCAUGUCCUCUUCUAUGUCAGCCUGGCAAGACCAGAUACAUUUCCAUGGUUACUGGCAGGGUUAAAGGCCCUGUAUCUGCUGUUGACAGGGCACCAGGCUCCCCUGGAAGGGCAGCCCAGACAUUGGUGUAGGCUAGGAAGGUGCAGAAAGCCAAGGAGUCCUCACACAGCCACUAUCAGCAUGCUGCAAGAGCCCAUGCAGGCUUUGGUAGAGGUGGUUAUACAAAUGGGCAUGGAUGGGUUUGAGUUAGCACUUUCUUGGCAAAGGAUCUAAUUGGCUGAGGCAGAACUGCUGAUAUUUGCUGGUGAGAAAGGAGUGGGUAAUGAGGAAGAGGCAAAUAAAGUAGACAAGGAGAGAGUGAAUGGCACAACCCCAGAGUCAGGGCAGUGCCCACAUACUGCUUUCAGCCUCUCAUUGCGCCAGCAGCACCAGUCACAGGAAUUAGAUAGCUUGUCCCAGGUUGGAACAGAGUCACUUUCUACUCAUUCCAACCUUCCACUAAUAAGCAUAAGCACAAACUAAGGAGGUAGGAGCAGGGGAAAUGUACUCACUUAGGUGGAAGCAAGGCGGUCCUGGCCCACGUCAUAGUCUUUUGUUGGGCACAGGAGAGGAAUAAGGUCAUUCUCUUGUCCAAGGGUGUGCCUUCACUAUAAAACAGAGAAAGAUCAUAGCUAGAGAUUAUUCCCAGGGUGUCUUUUUCUUCAUUGGCCACUCAUUCUGUGGGGCCAGAUCAUAGUGCAACUACUUCCAUUUGUUCCCCCAUGGAGUGUGGUUAGAUGCUCAGUGAUGAGUGAGCCCCAUGAUGGCUGGGGAACCCAAUAAUUAGCACAAGCGCUCCUCUAUGAUAGUCAAUGGUGGACAUGCUGUGCUAGUAGCCACAGUAUCUGGUACUGGCACUCCCUCCUCAUCUUGUACCAAUUCCUCAUCUCCUGGGUACUGGAAACAGAUAUUGACAUCAAAUAUCCACACACCUGUCAGAUUUUCUAUUGGAAUAGGCAGAGUAUAGUCACUAGUUUUGGGGGUUAAGGUGUUUUGUUGAAAUUGCUACAGUAUCUUCUGUUGGAUUAUAGAAAACCUGUCUGCUCUAGCCAUACCUUAAGGGGACCUAGUCCUCGUUGCAUGGAAUCUAGUCAUAGAACAUAGGCCUGGGUCUAGAAGUGCAUUAUUAGCCGUGGCCACCUGGCUAUGCCCGUCUGCAUAGAAAUUGUGGAAUGAAGAAGGGUCAGUUCUGCCAUUGGGAAGAGAGACAUGAUCGACAAAGAUGGUGACAAGGGAAACUAAGUAUUUCUACAAAGACAUGGCCUGGGUCUCUCAACCUCGUACCAUCCAUUAUCUGACAACCCCCUCAUGACUCCAUAGGGUGAGGCCAUUGGUGCUGGACUAGGAAGAUGUAUGACGAAUCUUUGCUUACUAAAGCAAAAGGGCAAGCAGGAACCACAGACUCUGUACAUACUGCACAUGCUCUUCUUUCCCCUCAGUAGUCAGGGCCUGGUCAAUGGUAGGGUAGUACCUUCCGCUGCCGCAAGAUACCUAUCCCAUAAGAUCUAUGAAGCAGAAAACCCUGGCUUGCUCUGUGCUCGGUUCCAGAUACUGUCCAGGAAUCUGUGUCCCUGAGUGGGGCAGACUGCCCCAGGCCAUGGGGUAAGCAAGGAAGCUCACAAAGAUGGCUCCCCCGUUCAUUCAUCAGCUGUGAUCAGUUCUGAGGAAUUCUGCUCCUAAGCUCGUGAGAGAAGGGAAUACCCUGCAGCCUCCUGGGGCUGUGCCACUGCUUGUUCUGGCCAUACUCCCGAUGCUCCGCUAGGAAAGGGGUGAGGGGGUGGGCUGCUUUCCAAGCAAAGAAAACGCACUCUAACAAGGUGGGGGGAGGGGCGCUGCACCUUUGGCUAAGCCUGGGGGAGGCUUAGGAGGAUCAGGGCAGGGGUUUUCCUGGGCUUGUCUAGGAGUCUUUGCAAGGUCAUGUUCCAGGUAACUUUGACCACAUCUCUUUGCACCAACAACAGAAACGAUGCAUCGAGGCAAUGAGGCCUUGGAAUUAAGGACUAUGACUAAACGCAAAAACUCGGACCCAAGCCUUGAACUCACUGGUUUCCCGAGGACAUCCCCCACCCACUUUUAUACCACGUGCCUUUUGCUAAGGGAACAAUUCUUUCCCGUGACGCACAUGCCCAGAGAGACCAGAAUCCCGCUCAUGGGCUUCCGCCACUGACGUCAUACCCUACUUCCGGGAAUCAUUGGUGGGAUGUGACUCAUGGAGCUUCAUUGCUCCGAGGGGGAUUUAGGGUGAGGGAGGGCGGAAGUUUGGUGGCCACUCCACCCCCCAAUACCAGACAACUGGCACCUUCAGUGCCCUUCCUGGCAGGCCCACGCAGUCACUCUGCGUGGUGGGGGAAUUCUUAGAGUCUAUCGGGACUGUUUCAGGGCCUCGCGGGGCUCUUAUGGGUCUUACAGAGCGUGGUAGGGCACGACUGGCUGGGGGUCAUCUGCGCAGGCGCCGCGGGCAUCACUGAGGACACGUGGCUUUUUCAACUGAAGCAGCAAUGACCGGGAUGAGGUUUUGGUACCCAGUGACGUGGGUUUCUUAUAUGUCAUCAGUUUUGCUGAGUCAUCUACAGUACUGUGUGAGGACAGCCGCCUCACAGGGUCUUCCAGUUAAAGGGGAGGUUUUUUUAGCCAAGGAUUUGGGCCUAGUCAGUCAACGUUGAGGAGUCAUUUGCGCAUGCGUUGAUGAGAUUGGGGACACGUGAUCUUAGCCUGAAGCGAUAGCAUUGCGCCAGUCUCUGAUGGGGCCAGUUUUUCCUACCUCCAUCAUCGCGGCGUUGUAAGGAACAAGUAAGAAUGGAACCCUUAAAGGCUGUGAAAGGGUUAGCCAUUACCGUUUAAACCAACAAGGGCAACAGUAUCUUCUCCAAACCACAUUUCUGGAAUUCUCAAUCAUGAGCAUCAACAUUUUCAAAACCCUUCUCCAUGAUAAAGAGUUACCCCGCUUCUUAAACUUAAUGAUCUUAAGGGUAAUGAAUUCCUACUCCUACGUUAUUUCCAAAAGCGUCUAUGUAGCUUUUCAGUGGUAAUAUGGGAGAAGGAUGGAAACCCUUCCAUACUCCAACUCCAGGAGAAGAGAGGAUUCUGGGUGUCUGCUCCUCAUGGUGAGUGGAAAUUUACAUUUUUUUUUUUUUUUUGCAGCAUUUGUUUUUUUUUUUUUUUUUUUUUUUUUAAUUUAAUAGCCUUUUAUUUACAGGAUAUAUGCAGACCCCCAGCCAGUCGUGCCCUACCACGCUCUGUAAGACCCAUAAGAGCCCCCCUCCCCCAGAUGGCAGGAUGACCAGUAGAUGGUAAGUACAUUAAAAUAUAAAUUAGAUACACAAUAAGUAUACAUGACCAAAACGUUAUUUUUGCAGCAUUUGUUACACAUAAUUCUGGAUUUCUUUCUGAAUUUGGGAUGACUUCCAGAUAGUCCAGUAAGACUUUGACUUCAGAUGGUCAAAAUGAUCUCUUGAAGUUGUUCUUUGGGAGGCAAUUGAAGGCACACAACUAAAGGGUUAAAUAUCUGAGGUUUUGAAUUCAGUUCCUCAACUCCAGGGCCAGUGCUAGUCCAUUGUGCCAUUUAUCUGUACCCUACCCCAUCCCCACCCCCAGCUUGUGAAACAGGAGUUGGCUCCUUGCUCACCACCUCUCAGUGAAAAUUUCCAAUGCUCCCUGAAAUGACUACAUCUAAAACCUAAACUUCCUACAAUGUUAAAAAUCCCAGUACUUACCUUCACACUUUACUCUAAAAAACCAUGAGUAUGUAUCAACUCUUACCACCCGUAGCCUCCUAAUGAGCAUCAUAAGUGUAACAAUACUUUAUCACAGUAGCUGUCUUAAAGGCAGUGGGACAGAAGGGAGCCAAAAUAUAAGGAUCAUCCUACUUCUAACAUAUCCAAGUGACUGAGAGGCAGUACCAAUGGGAAUUUUAAAGAAAUUAACAUUUCCGCUAGUUAUGGUUUUAGAACUGAAGAGAAAGUGGGGAUUUGUGGAACAAGCUUCAGGUUUCGCCUAGUGAGAAAUGUUGAGGAAAAGUGUUCCAGAUGUGCAUCCUGCUGAGAACUGAAGGUGGGAGGGAUCUGCUUGUCUCUUGUAAGAAUAUAUGUCUGGAAAACUCACUUGGCAAAGCUUUCCACUUUCCCUAAAGGAUUUUAACUCAUAAUCAUUCAGUAAAGAAAUAUGAUUACCGUAACCAAACCAGGUGGUGAAACAAAUUAAAAAAUAAAUACAAAUCAAUUUACCAUAUACCGUGCAAGACAAUGCCAACAAAAUUCCUUUUUUGAAGUUGAGCUUUGUCUCCCUGUGACAAAAUACACAUGAGUUUGGAAGUUUCAUUUGGGAGCAGGAUACGGAAAACUUUCUGGAAAAAUGUUUUAUUUGGUUCCUCUCAAGAUGACAGAUUAGAUUUUUAUAGCACAAAUGUUUUGCCCUUAAAUUACCAUAUCCAGUCACAUAGUUCUUUCAUGGACAGCCUGGGUGAUUUUGGACAGUCCACUUUUUCUUCAUAUAAGGAGAUAAACCAAAUUGUCAUUGGGAAACUGAAGAGAAAUCGUUGUUCAGGAACUAGUAUCCCCCUUCCUGUCUUCUCUAUAGAAACUUCCUGUACUUUAGUUAGAAUCUAUUUUAAAAGUUCUCCCUGAGUAGGAAACAAACAAACAAAAAACAGUAGCAAAACAUGCCUCUCUGCUGCAAAGCCAUUUAUAAAAACAAAACAAAGCCAAAAAGAACCCUUUUCCCCCCUUAUCCUUUGUACUCAGUAGUGUCAUUGUAGUAAUUAUGAGCAAAAGAGAAAGAUAACCACUGUUAUUCAUAUUUCAAUGGUCUGUCUCCUAAAAUUAUUUGUUCACAGUGGGCUUUUAGAGUCAUGAUAACACAACUUUAAGAGUCCACAAAUGGUAGUGGAGACAUUUAGAAUUUUUUUUUUCUAUUAUGAGAUACACUUAUUGCCAAACUGACUUACUCAUCACAGAAAGGGAAAAAUACCCCUCAAAUCCCAUGAAGAUUAAAAAAUCGUAAUAAAUUAAUUAUUUAUAAUAAUAAUAUAAGUAAUAAACUGUAGUAAAUGAGAGAGAGCAUUGGAGUCCAAGAAGUUCAGUUCUUCUGAUAUAGGUGACCCAGUGCAGGAAUUUUAACCUUUUACUGCUAUCCCUUCCCACUGCCAUCCCUUCCCCUGACCCUCCCAUCCCAGUUUCCUGAGAUUCUUAAAUUACAAAUUAGUCGUUGAUCUAAAUUGGUGGGCAGUUUUCACACCAGGAGUUCUCUAGAUGGAUCAAGGUCUGGACCACCUUCUUCCCUCCAGCUCCCUCAAAAUAACGAUUGAGAGCUUAGUGACUGUAAUUUGAUUUAUAAUAGUAGAAGAAAUGAUCACUUGAAAAGGCCAGGAUUUUAUCCAAAGUAUUGCUUAGUUCAAACUAGACAGAACCAAGAAAAAAUAAAUUAACAGACUAAUAUACUCAAUUCAUUUUUUGUUCGUUUGAUUUUUUUUUUUUUUGGAAAUCUGAAGAGACAUAGUGACCGAUUUCCCCUUUCCAGCCAAGACUACGUCUUUACAAAUUCCCUUUAUGUUAGACAAAAGAGUUCCCUAAAGAGCUCCCUAAAGGAGCCUUAAUUUUAAAAUGCAUUGAGAUAGGGGGAAAGAGAACAGUGGUAACCUGCUAGCUGAUGGUUGGUGUGAAGAGAGUUAAACAGGCUUGCCCAGCUUUCAGAGAAAACUCUUGAGUUACCCACCAGAUAUUAUUGCCUAUGUUCUUCUCAAACCCAACUUUUUCCACUCUCAGGUUCUACAACCCUUAUUACAUAUCAAGUUUGUGUCCUCCCACAAGCUGGGGGGUGGGGUGGGGGGAACUAACCCAGGAUUUCCAGUAUGUGCUUGGUCUGUUUGGCCAAAGGUGACUAACUUAGUGGACUGAGGUCGACCUCCCCCUCCCCCAAAUCAAUAAUUUAAUGUGACUUAUCAGAAAGAGAAAGAAUUGUUUACUUUAAAUCCCUGGAUCCCAUAAAGGGAGAGAGGGAAAGGCACACUGGGAACAGAAGCUGCAGAGGGCCUUGUUUCUGCCUCUGGGCUGCUGAAAGGCAAAGCAGGAGAAAGCUCUUUAGAGGGAUGCAUCUAGCUCUAAGAGAUGUGUGGAACGCCAAGGCCCAGUCACUGUUCAGAUCAGAAUCUGGGACAGACCCUGCAGAGGAGAAGCUCCCCACCAUGCAGCCACUCUUGGAGGUGAAUUCUUAAGAAGUGAUGAGCCACCCAGCGGGGACAGUAGAGAGAAGUUUAUACCUCCACUAUGGCCGAGGACUAUGAAAGGUAGCCAAAAAUAUUCACACAGUACAUUCAUCUUCAAACAACCAUUAACACUCCAAUCUAACAAGCAGUUCACUCCCUUUUAGCUUCUUCUCCACUCUUCCUAGAUUCAGCUAUCUUUACUAUAAGUUCUGAGAAAUAGUAAGAGAAGGACUACAACUAAGAGAUUGUAGUUAAUAGAGUAGUGUCUUUCAAAACCAGCUAAUUCUUGUUAACCAUCUCCUUUAUGCCAAGAUGUUUUGCUGCUCCCAAGAGAUUCAAAGAGAAAAAUCCCAUCCCUGUCUUCAAAACACUUUCAUUUCAUAUACUAAAAUGUGUGAGGAGCUUUGUUCUAGGUCCCCAGGCACCUUUGGGCAAAUGAAAGAAAGAAAUCAAAUACAUGAAAAAGAUAUAAAACACACAUAAAAUCUGAGUCAUAACAGAUUAAGCAUUAGUAUUAUGUGUUUGUUAAAUGUAUUGAAUGCAACUGAACUAGAUGAAAGUUAUAUAAGUCAUCAUAGCUUGCUCACAUCCAUGCAUGUGAGUUCUGAGAUGUUGCUAUGGCAAUAGAAAAGGUAGAACUCAGUCUGGGCAAGUUUCUGUUUAUUUAUUUAUUCAUUUAUCUAUCUAUCUAUCUAUUUGACAAAAGCUUUUUAUUUACAGAGUAUAUGCAUGGGUAAUUUUUCCAACAUUGACUCUUGCAAAACCUUUUGUUCCAGAUUUCCCCCUCCUUAUCCCCACUCCCUCCCCUAGUUGGCAGGUAGUCUAAUACAUGAUAAAUAUGUUGAAAUACAUGUUAGAUCCAAUAUAUGCAUACAUAUUUAUACAGUUAUCUUGUUUCAUAAGAAAUAGAUCAAGAAAGAAGGAAAAAGAAAAGCUGAGAAAGAAAACACAAUGCAAGAAUGCUAUGUUAUAAUCCAUACUCAGUUCCCACAGUCCUCUCUCUGGGAGUAGAUGACUCUCUUCUUCACUGCACAAGUGGAACUGGUUUGAAUCAUCUCAUUGUUGAAGAGAGCCAUGUCCAUCAGAAUUGACCAUCAUAUAGUCUUGUUGUUGCCGUGUAUAAUGAUCUCCUGGCUCUGCUCAUUUCAUUUAACAUCAGUUCAUGUAAGUCUCUCCAGGCCUCUUAAAUCAUCCUGCUGGUCAUUUCUUACAGAACAAUAAUAUCCCAUAACAUUUAUAUACCAUAAUUUAUUCAGACAUUCUCCAAUUGAUGGGCAUCCACUCAGUUUCCAGUUUCUUGCCACUAUAAACAGGGCUGCCACAAACAUUUUUAGACAUGUGGGUCCCUUUCCUUUCUUUAAGAUCUCUUUGAGAUAUAAGCCCAGUAGAAACACUGAUGGAUCAAAGGGUAUGCACAGUUGAUAACUUUUUGAGCAUAGUUCUAAACUGCUCUCCAGAAUGGCCGGAUGUAUUUAUAAUUCCACCAGCAAUGUAUCAGUGUCCCAGUUUUCCCACAUCCCCUCCAACAUUCAUCAUUAUCUUUUCCUGUCAUCUUAGCCAAUCUGACAGGUGUGUAAUGAUAUUUCAGAGUUGUCUUAAUUUGCAUUUCUCUGAUCAAUAGGGAUUUGGAGCACCUUUUCAUGUGGCUACAAAUACUUUCAAUUUCUUCAUCUGAAAACUGUCUUCAUCUCUCUUGACCAUUUAUCAAUUGGAGAAUGACUUAAACUAUUAUAAAUUUGAGUCAGUUUUCUAUAUAUUUUAGAAAUGAGGCCUUUUAUCAGAUCCUUUGGAUGAGUCUGGGCAAGUUUUAAGGAAGCUCAGAAUUGGAUGCUACGAAUAAGGGUCCAGAAAUUUCUGAGGAUAAGAAUAAGAAAUAGUGAAUACAGUGCUAUAUUUUAGUUUACUGAAGCUGGGGCUCAAUAGCCAUUUUGAUGUCUUGACUUUCUGUAGUUAAAAGCUCGUUAAUAGAAAACCACUCGGCUUACUGGAGAGGAUUUCCUCAACUAAUUCAUGCUAGACUGUUGAUGAUUGAUUAUAACCUGGACAUUUGAUCCUUCCCAGGAAUAUUUGGAGCUUUGUAAGGGACUAAAAAGAAUUUCUAGUAACAGAACAAUUUCAGUUACUAAUGUCUAGCCUGUGGAGACACAUUUGAGGGUAAGAAAGAGGCUGGGAAGGGCUUUUCUAAUAUCCCUCAAAUCAUACUACCGAAGCAAUCAGUGGCCUGUUUGGCUAAUGGACCAAAGUCACAUUCUAAAGGGAAAUGAGUCAUCCUAUUAAAAGGAUAAACAAACCAAGAAGAUAAGCAAAUAGCUGGAGCCAACUCCCUCAAUCUGAGUAUGAUAAAAAUGACUUUUAAAAAUAUAUCAAUCCUCACAAAACCUGAAGCCCUGUUGUCUUUGUCAAGCCUGCUGAUUUCAUUUACUGGGAGACAGGAAACCAGAUUGUCUUUAGGAAAUACAAAGAAAAUUGAUUUUAGGUGCUCAAGGAUAUGACAACAUUAAAUUUAGAAAGUAUUUCUGGUUGUAUUUAGAAAAAGAGGCAAUUCUGAGAAACAUGAACCUAGCCCCAACUUUCCUCUUUUUACUGCAUAGUAAAAAAGAAAAUCAGUGAAGUAAAAUACUUAGCUUCUUGUCUUUUCUACUGUGGCAAGGAGUUUAGUACUAUCAAAAAAAUAAUUCAAACUGGAAACCUGUGCAAAUCUAGAGCAGGAUUGCUUCACAGAUAGGUCUCCUUUUGGCUAAGAUCUGAAUGCUAUUGCCUCCAAAAUGAAUAGGUCCUUUUCACUAAGCUUACCUCCUGUCUCUUCAAUUUUACUCCUUUUCCUUUCCACUACCAUAAUGGACUGAGAUUUAAAAUCCAAACUGAGCUUGGUUGUUAGGUAACCAAGGCCAUGCUACUGAUGUCAAAAUUCUAUUCCUUAAAAGAAGUGAGUUUUCUUUCUUGGGAAGAAAAUACCACUUACCAAAAUUGUCACAGACUUAAAGCAGGCAUUAAUAAUAUGCUAGGAAUUAUUAAGGAAGGGGGAGAUGGAGGGAAAGAGAGCCUUUUCAUAACUUUAUGCUUGCUUAUUAUAUGCAUUCCCACAAAAUAUUUUUGUUUGUCAAAUUCUGGUUUCACACAUACAGUAGUGUAUCCACUGUAGAUGUUUUAUUUUCUCAGCCUAAAAAAAAUAAGUGAAAACAAAUAUUCUAGUGGGCUCAUCACAUAUUUGAUUUCCUUAAGAAAUCUCCACUUACUUUAAGGAGUGCUUAAUUGUAGGACAAAGAAUAUGUAACAUGGAAAACACUAACUCUGGAAUCAGAGAACAUGGGUUUGAAUUCUUCCUGUUUCUUAUUAUUUGUGUGAUCUUGUAUAUGAUGUCACUCCUUGAUCCUUAGUUUCUUCCUUUCUAAAAUGAGGAUGCUGGAAUGAAUGGCCUCUGAGGUCUUUUCCGGUUCUAGAUAGAUGAUUUUGUGAUCCUAUGAAAGCAGAACAAAGGGCAGAUUUGCUAGUGUCAGUGUAGACCAAAUAACUACUCUCAUAAGGCAGUUUCAGUUUGGACAGGGCAAGGAGAAUCUUCUACCUUUUGUUAUGACUUCCUUCAGCUUGUCUCUCCAUUUCCUAUAAAGUUUGUCAUGGUGUCCUAUCUCCUCUUUCCCUUUCAGGUAAUGCAUAGAGAUCUGGAGACUUCCUUUUUGGUGGGUUCAUGGCAGUGCUGCCAUGUGGAAGUGCAACUAAUAUUCUUUGGGCUGUGUGUUAUCCUUGCCAGAGCUAUGGAGUGUGACAAUGGUGUUUGUGUCCAGUCUAUCAAACGCCAUUAUCACACUAAAUAGCUAUAGUUGGGUACUCCAUCUCUUCAGGGAAGAGCAUGUCAAGCAUCGAGUCAUCUGCUGAAGAUGGACAAAACUGUUACUCUUACUUUAAUGCCCUGUUCAUUCAUGGAUACCAAAGAAAUUGCCAAAAUGGUGGCUCAUAAAAGGGUAUAUUCUUUCAGAGGCAGAAUUUUCUCAACUUUGCCUUUUACCCUUUGCUAUAAAUGGAUGUUUUCCUGAAGGAUGUAAGCUCCUUGAGGGCAGAGAUUAUUUUGUUUUAAUUUUCAUCUUUGUAUCCAUAGCCUAUCACUGCAUCUAGUACUAAUAAUCUUUAAUAAAUGUUUGUUGAAUUGAAUAUAUUUCUGAGUCCCUAAAGAAGAUGCAUACCAUCCCACAGGAUUUAGCAUGCUGCUAGACACAGUGGAUCCAACAAUAAAUAUUUCUUGAAAUGCAGUAGCAAGGAGGGAAUGGAUAAAGGGAAAAGAAAUCAUCUGGGAUAUGCAAAUAAUUUAUUAUUUACAUAGAAAGUAAAGUAUUUGCCUUUUUUCUUUUCAUUAUGGAAUUCCUUUCAAAAGCACACGGUAAUAAACUUACAUUUGGUCUAAUUGACCUCCUAGAAAUGUUAGUGCACAUGUUUGACUCCUAACAAUUUUAUUCAAUUACAGUGAUGAUUGCUAUAUAUGUAUGCACGAUUCCCCCUUCCCUAAUGUAUCCUUUAAUUAUCCAUUAUGUUGAACUGCUGAAAACAACUUUUGAAAUUGUUAGCUCUUGUGGCCUAUUUAAUAAUUGAACUCAGCAGAGUUGAAAUGCAAUAGAGGUAAAGGGGGUUGGUUCUUAUAUCCUAAACAAGGAGAGGAUCAGAAGGUGUACUGGCUUAAAAUAAUUUGAAUUAAUCAACUGCAUGAUAGCCCAAGUUGGGCUUUUUCCUCAGAAUCCAGUUAUUAGGACUAAAUUCUUGACACUGGAUCAUGUUUUGUGUAUGAGGCAAACUGAUGGUAUAUGCAGUUUUUCAGUUUCCAGUUGUCCUGGAAAUGGAGACUAUAAUCAUACAAAGAAACUCCAGAAUACCUGAUGAGUGAUUAAAAACAAAAAGAAAGAAAUGGAAUAGUGGAAAGAACACCAGACCAAGAGAGAGGAAUUCUUUCUUUAAGGAAGUCAUUAAAUCUCUUUUGGCUUCCUGGAGCAGCAAGGUGGGUAACACAGUGAAUAAAUAAAGGGCCUGACCUAAAGUAAAGAAGACCUGAGUUCAAAUCCAGCCUACUUAUUAACUGUGACCUGGAAAAGUCAUUUAGUCCUACUUGUCUCAGUUUCUCAUCUGUAAAAUGAGCUGGAGCAGGAAAUGGCAAACGACAUGAGUAUCUUUAUCCCCUAAAAUGGAGUCACAAAGAGUCAGACAUGAUUGAAAUAAUUGAACAAUAACAAAAAUGGAAGGCCAGCCUAGAUGAUCUCUUAAGUUAUAAUUCUAACAAUCUCUGAAUCUAAGUAAUACCAUUAGUCAAAUGAAUAAAAUUUACAAAAUAAUUCAUUAAGGAAUUUUGAAAACCUUAAUGAAAAUACCUUAAUGAAGAGAUUAUCUUCAGUACAUUUAGUAAAAAAGAAAAAAAAUUGCAUUAAUGGUUUACAAAUAUCACAUUUCAAAGAAAUGAGUUUGUUUAUUUAGAGGACAAAAAUACAAAUCCAAAGAACAGAGCUUAUGGAACUGGAAGCAAGGAAGGAAAAAGAGGGAGUAAAUAAAAAAAAGGAUAUGACACUAUUCCAAUCCACUAUAAUGGUUUUGGGGUUUUUCACAGGGGAGAGACUCACCAGCCAAUGAUACUGCUAAAAGCAAGAGAUCUUUAAUUUGAUACAUUUUCAGCUUCCCCAAGGGAAGAUUUAAGGUCUAAGGGAACACCUAGCAAUGGGAACAAAUAAGGGGAGGACAGAAGCAACUCAGGAGGGAUACAACCAUAUUUGUAAUAACAGUAUUUAGGCCACAGCAGGAUAAGAAAAGAAGUUCAAGGAUGUGAGUGAAGAGGAUAUAUGUUGUCCUUUGUAUACUUAGCUUUGCUUCUACAUAAGAUAGCUAAGAUCUUGUCUCCAUCAGGGAAGCACACCAGCUCUUCCCACCCUUCUAAAACUAGGUGGGGAUCAACACAGGUCAAUUCUCUAUACAAAAGUAUUUUCAUAGAUUAGGAUGGUCAGCCAAUGAGAAGAGUCAAAGAAAAUUCAAAUUGCCAGAGAAACAACAAAACAAAGCAGAAGAGGGAAGGGUGAGUUCUUGCUCAUACCUGGCUGAUUGAUCUCCUUCAUUUGCUGUCAUAUAUAACAGAUGCUAAUUAACCAGGUGGAGUAUGGGCAUAGAAGAUUAUAAAAGAGGGAAGGGGCCAGGCUGGACGAAGAGUUGUGUCUGAAGCACAUAUAGCUUGUUUCAAGAAAUACUGGAUUCAUCUGCAUCCAAAAAGAGAACUAUGGAGAUUGAAUGUAAAUCAAUACAUGCUAUCUUCGCUUCUUUUUUUUCUGUUUUUUUCCUUGUGGUUUUUCCCUUUUGUUCUGAUUUUUCUCUCCCAACAUGAUUCACAAAGAAAUGUGUAUUUAAAAAGUUAAUACACAUGAAUAAACAGAAAAAAAAAGCAAUAAAGAAAAAAAGACUGGACCCCCCAAAAAAGAGAGGAGUGUGAGGAUACAUGUAUAUGUAUAUAUUCUGUGAAUUAAUAACUAUCAUAGAUGUAGGAAGGGAAAGUUUAAGUUUGGUCCUUAACUAUUGAAAUUCACCUUGUCAAAUGACUUCUCAUCUAAUUAAAUUCCCUUUAUUUUUUUCAAUUUUGAUAUCUUCUUUUCCGAUUCAUUGAUGUGUC
rnacentral:lncRNA from 1 species